rnacentral:rRNA from 1 species
UACGAAGGGGGCGAGCGUUGUUCGGAUUUACUGGGCGUAAAGGGCGCGCAGGCGGCCAUUCAAGUCAGGCGUGAAAGCCCCGGGCUCAACCUGGGAACCGCGCUUGAGACUGGUGCGCUAGAGUCCGGGAGAGGAUGGUGGAAUUCCCAGUGUAGAGGUGAAAUUCGUAGAUAUUGGGAAGAACACCGAUGGCGAAGGCAGCCAUCUGGACCGGCACUGACGCUGAGGCGCGAAAGCGUGGGGAGCAAACAGG